UUCGGAUUGUAGGCUGCAACUCGCCUACAUGAAGUCGGAGUUGCUAGUAAUCGCGGAUCAGAAUGCCGCGGUGAAUGCGUUCCCGGGUCUUGUACACACCGCCCGUCACACCAUGGAAGUUGGGGGCGCCCGAAGUUGGUCGAGGAAUAGAGUACCUAAGGCGAAACCAAUGACUGGGGUGAAGUCGUAACAAGGUACC
rnacentral:rRNA from 1 species